AGCGGGAGGCCUUUGCCGCGCACCUGUCGCGCGAGGGCAUCGGGCACAAGGUCUUCUACCCGAUGCUGGUCCCGCACACCCCUGCGUACCGCCGCAGAGGCUUUGGCGGAGCGUUCCCCGUGGCGGAAACGCUCACGCGCGAGGUGCUUUCCCUGCCCGUCCAUCCCGCCCUCUCCGAGGACGACCUGCG
rnacentral:misc_RNA from 1 species